UUGAAAGGGAAACGAUUGAAGUCAGUCGUACUUAUGGGUAAUCAGCCUUUUGGGUGUGAUUUUGUGGAGCGUGAAGAGUUAAACGCCUUCAUGCCUGCAUAUUCGUGCACUUUGGGUGUACUUGCCCGUGUGUAAGUUAACAUCAAUUUUGGUGGUCAUAAAAUGGCUGGAGGAAUGUAGCUUCGAUCUUGUAUUGAAGUGUUAUAGCCUUCGGCAGAUGUGACGAUCGAGAUUGAGGAUUGCAACGGAUACCCUUCGGGGCUACCUGUCUGAUCUCUGAUUGUUGCUCUGGUGCCGAAAGCUUGCUUACGGUUAUCAAAGUCGAUGGUCAAUAGGUUAGAACGGGUUAAAUUCGUUAAGGAUGUUGACGUA
rnacentral:rRNA from 1 species